rnacentral:tRNA from 1 species
GCCCUGAUGGUCUAGCGGUAUGAUUCUCCCUUAGGGCUGCGAAGCAUGCAUGGGAGAGGUCCCAGGUUCGAUCCCUGGUUAGGGCC